AGACGGGUACGACCAGCUCCUGCUGAACUCCCCCAGGGCCGGAAGGCAGCAAGGGUAGGCGGUUGUAGCGGUGCGAUACCCGUUUUUU
rnacentral:SRP_RNA from 1 species